UGAAAUUCUAGUCUUAUCGGUGGAUCACUCGGCUCGUGGAUCGAUGAAGAACGCAGCCAACUGCGAUAAUUAGUGUGAACUGCAGAAACCUUGAACACAGAAACUUCGAAUGCACAUUGCGCCAGUGGAGUUAAAUCCAUUGGCACGCCUGGUUCAGGG
rnacentral:rRNA from 1 species